rnacentral:rRNA from 1 species
UACGGGGGGGGCAAGCGUUGUUCGGAAUUACUGGGCGUAAAGGGCUCGUAGGCGGCCAACUAAGUCAGACGUGAAAUCCCCCGGCUUAACCGGGGAACUGCGUCUGAUACUGGAUGGCUUGAAUCCGGGAGAGGGAUGCGGAAUUCCAGGUGUAGCGGUGAAAUGCGUAGAUAUCUGGAGGAACACCGGUGGCGAAGGCGGCAUCCUGGACCGGCAUUGACGCUGAGGAGCGAAAGCCAGGGGAGCAAACGGG